AUUGAACGCUGGCGGCAGGCCUAACACAUGCAAGUCGAACGAGUGGCGGACGGGUGAGUAAUGUCUGGGAAACUGCCUGAUGGAGGGGGAUAACUACUGGAAACGGUAGCUAAUACCGCAUACCAUCAGAUGUGCCCAGAUGGGAUUAGCUAGGUGGUGGGGUAACGGCUCACCAAGGCGACGAUCCCUAUAUGGUCUGCGAGGAUGACCAGCAACACGGGAACUGAGCAACGGUCCAGACUCCUACGGGAGGCAGCAGUGGGGAAUAUUGUACAAUUGGCGCAAGCCUGAUGCAGCCAUGCCGCGUGUAUGAAGAAGGCCUUCGGGUUGUAAAGUACUUUCAGCGGGGAGGCGUUACCCGCAGAAGAAGCACCGGCUAACUCCGUGCCAGCAGCCGCGGUAAUAC
rnacentral:rRNA from 1 species